rnacentral:rRNA from 1 species
GAUGAACGCUAGCUACAGGCUUAACACAUGCAAGUCGAGGGGUAACGAGAGGAAAGCUUGCUUUCCUUGUCGACGACCGGCGCACGGGUGAGUAACGCGUAUCCAACCUGCCCCCAACUAGGGAAUAACCUUGCGAAAGUAAGACUAAUACCCUAUAAUUUCCUCAGAUGUCAUCUGACGAGGAAUAAAGAUUUAUCGGUUGUGGAUGGGGAUGCGUCUGAUUAGCUUGUUGGCGGGGUAACGGCCCACCAAGGCAACGAUCAGUAGGGGUUCUUAGAGGAAGGUCCCCAGCAUUGGAACUGAGACACGGUCCAAACUCCUACGGGAGGCAGCAGUGAGGAAUAUUGGUCAAUGGGCGGAAGCCUGAACCAGCCAUGUAGCGUGCAGGAUGACGGCCCUAUGGGUUGUAAACUGCUUUUAUACAGGAAUAAAGUUAGCCACGUGUGGUUAUUUGUAGGUACUGUAUGAAUAAGGACCGGCUAAUUCCGUGCCAGCCGCCGCAGUAA